rnacentral:rRNA from 1 species
UAAUACUGAGGUCCCAAGCGUUGUUCGGAUUUACUGGGCGUAAAGGGUGCGUAGGCGGCUAUAAAAGUUUGGUGUGAAAUCUUCGGGCUCAACCCGGAAACUGCAUUGAAAACUAGAUGGCUAGAGGAUCGGAGAGGAGAUUGGAAUUCUCAGUGUAGCAGUGAAAUGCGUAGAUAUUGAGAGGAACACCAGUUGCGAAGGCGGAUCUCUGGACGGUUCCUGACGCUGAGGCACGAAAGCUGGGGUAGCGAAGAGGAUUAGAUACCCUCGUAGUCCCAGCCGUAAACGGUGCGCACUUGCUGUGGGCGGAUUCGACCCCGUCUGUGGCGAAGCUAACGCGAUAAGUGCGCCGCCUGGGGAGUACGGUCGCAAGAUUA